rnacentral:rRNA from 1 species
UGGGGAAUUUUGGACAAUGGGCGAAAGCCUGAUCCAGCAAUGCCGCGUGUGUGAAGAAGGCCUUCGGGUUGUAAAGCACUUUUGUCCGGAAAGAAAUCCUUGGCUCUAAUACAGUCGGGGGAUGACGGUACCGGAAGAAUAAGCACCGGCUAACUACGUGCCAGCAGCCGCGGUAAUACGUAGGGUGCAAGCGUUAAUCGGAAUUACUGGGCGUAAAGCGUGCGCAGGCGGUUUGCUAAGACCGAUGUGAAAUCCCCGGGCUCAACCUGGGAACUGCAUUGGUGACUGGCAGGCUAGAGUAUGGCAGAGGGGGGUAGAAUUCCACGUGUAGCAGUGAAAUGCGUAGAGAUGUGGAGGAAUACCGAUGGCGAAGGCAGCCCCCUGGGCCAAUACUGACGCUCAUGCACGAAAGCGUGGGGAGCAAACAGGAUUAGUACCCUGGUAGUCCACGCCCUAAACGAUGUCACUAGUUGUUGGGGAUUCAUUUCCUUAGUAACGUAGCUAACGCGUGAAGUUGACCGCCUGGGGAGUACGGUCGCAAGAUUAAAACUCAAU